UACUUUUCAUUUUUGUACCUUUGAUGGGUC
rnacentral:piRNA from 1 species